rnacentral:rRNA from 1 species
GACGAACCGAGCGAACGUUGUUCGGAAUCACUGGGCUUAAAGGGCGCGUAGGCGGCUCUUCAAGUCGGGGGUGAAAUCCCACAGCUUAACUGUGGAAGUGCCUUCGAUACUGAGGAGCUCGAGCGAGGUAGGGGCCGAGGGAACUUCUGGUGGAGCGGUGAAAUGCGUUGAUAUCAGAAGGAACGCCGGUGGCGAAAGCGCUCGGCUGGACCUCUUCUGACGCUGAGGCGCGAAAGCCAGGGGAGCGAAUGGG